AUGUCACUUACCAAUUCCUUUUGCAAUAUUUGGUGUGUUGGCCAGGAAGGAAAAGCUUAACUGACACAGCUCAUGUUGGGCCAAACCCGAGUCCCACAGGAAGGAGUGGCUGUCCACCUCCUCAGAAGGGAAGAGGUACACCCCCAGGAUUUCCUGUGUUCCUUCUCUAGUACUCAGAGGCCAGCUCCCUGACAGCAGAACACAUGAACCCAGAACAGAUACAGCAAAGGAAGGCAAGUUUAGAAGCCAACAUCUGACCUUGCACGUGGGACGGCCAGUCCUCUGGUGAAGUGAGCUUCCUGUCAUGUUCACCACCAUGGACAUCAAGGGGAGAGAGCCCAUCAUCCUGCUGCUGGUGUCAACCCUGGUCCUGUGCCAGAAUGUGGCCUCCCAUCCCACCUGUCUCUCAGGGCCCAGAUGCUACAUGACCGUCCAGGAAAUUAAUAAUAAGGCAAUCUAUACUACAAUACAGAUGCAAUUCAACUCUUUAGAAGUGUUCCUGGAAU